GCGGAUAUGGCGGAAUUGGUAGACGCGCUAGCUUCAGGUGCUAGUGACUGCAAGGUCGUGGGGGUUCGAGUCCCUUUAUCCGCACCA
rnacentral:tRNA from 2 species